rnacentral:rRNA from 1 species
UACGUAGGGCGCAAGCGUUGUCCGGAAUCAUUGGGCGUAAAGCGCGCGUAGGCGGCCAGAUAAGUCCGGUGUGAAAGUCACAGGCUCAACCUGUGAAUGCCGCUGGAAACUGUCUGGCUAGAGUCCGGAAGGGGCGAGUGGAAUUCCUGGUGUAGCGGUGAAAUGCGCAGAUAUCAGGAGGAACACCAAUGGCGAAGGCAGCUCGCUGGGACGGUACUGACGCUGAGGCGCGAAAGCGUGGGGAGCAAACGGG